rnacentral:rRNA from 1 species
UACAGAGGAUGCAAGCGUUAUCCGGAAUGAUUGGGCGUAAAGCGUCUGUAGGUGGCUUUUUAAGUCCGCCGUCAAAUCCCAGGGCUCAACUCUGGACAGGCGGUGGAAACUACCAAGCUGGAGUACGGUAGGGGCAGAGGGAAUUUCCGGUGGAGCGGUGAAAUGCGUAGAUAUCAUUUGGAACGCCAAUGGUGUAAACAGCUCGCUGGGAAUGAUCUGACACUGAGACGCGAAAGCCAGGGGAGCGAACGGG